rnacentral:rRNA from 1 species
CCUACGGGAGGCAGCAGUGAGGAAUAUUGGUCAAUGGGCGGAAGCCUGAACCAGCCAAGUCGCGUGAGGGAUUAAGGCCCUGCGGGUCGUAAACCUCUUUUGCCGGGGAGCAGAGGUACGGACGUGUCCGGGCCGGGAGAGUACCCGGAGAAAAAGCAUCGGCUAACUCCGUGCCAGCAGCCCCGGUAAUACGGAGGAUGCAGGCGUUAUCCGGUUUUAUGGGGUUAAAGGGGUGCGUGGGGGGGCAUUAAAGCCGGGGGUAAAAUGUCGGGGCUAAACCCCGGCCUGCCGUCGAAACUGGGUGCCUUGAGUGGGCGAGAGGUAUGCGGAAUGCGUGGUGUAGCGGUGAAAUGCAUAGAGAUCACGCAGAACCCCGAUUGCGAAGGCAGCAUACCGGCGCCCUACUGACGUUGAGGCACGAAAGUGCGGGUAUCGAACAGGAUUAGAUACCCUGGUAGUC